UACGUAGGGUGCAAGCGUUGUCCGGAAUUAUUGGGCGUAAAGAGCUCGUAGGCGGGACCGUAAGUCCGAGAGGAAAUCUCAAGGCUCAACUUUUGGGGCUUUCUUGGAUACUGCGGUUCUGAGGAUGGGAGAGGUAAGUAGAAUUCCCGGUGUAGCGGUGAAAUGCGUAGAUAUCGGGAGGAAUACCAGUGGCGAAGGCGGCUUACUGGCCCAUUCCUGACGCUGAGGAGCGAAAGCGUGGGGAGCAAACGGG
rnacentral:rRNA from 1 species